AAGCGCUUGUGACCAGACUUGGGCUUGGUUGAUCAUCCGGGGUUCUCCCCGGUGCACUCUUCCGGCUCAGGCCAGCAUCAGUUCGCCCUGGGGGAUAAAGGCUUCGGGAAUGUGGCUCUCUCCGGGGAGUGUUAUAGCCUAUUGUAUAAUACCUUUAUGGGGACCGAGGUACGCGCUCUGCAAGGAUGCUGGCGUAAUGGUCAUCA
rnacentral:rRNA from 1 species